GCCCGGGUGGUGAAAUCGGUAGACACAAGGGAUUUAAAAUCCCUCGGGGGUAACCCCGUGCCGGUUCAAGUCCGGCCCCGGGCACCA
rnacentral:tRNA from 1 species